rnacentral:lncRNA from 13 species
UUCUGUUGUGAAUAAUUUUAUUUCCUUCUAGAGAAACCGCGCGUUUGGUUCACACAAAAAAAACGGAACUAAAUGAAAUUCAAGUAACGGAAUCGAAGUCAGUUAAUCACUCAGCAAUAGUCACUGUGUCAGUCUUAUGUGAACGCCUGUCUGUCUGUCAUAUGUGAAAAUCUGUCUGUCUGUCUUAUGUGAAAGCCUGUCUGUCUGUCUUAUGUGAAAGUCUGUCUGUCUGUCUUAUGUGAAAGCCUGUCUGUCUGUCUUAUGUGAAAGCCUGUCUGUCUGUCUUAUGUGAAAGCCUGUCUGUCUUAUGUGAAAGCCUGUCUGUCUGUCUUAUGUGAACGUCUGUCUGCCUGUCUGUCUGUCUUAUGUGAAAGCCUGUGUGUGUGCUUCUGUGUGUGACUUGUGUGAAAGCCUGUCUGUGUGUGCGUCUGACUGUGUGUGUGAGCGAGUGAGGGAGAUAUGACUUCUGUGAAGGCCUGUGAGUGUGUGUGUGUGCUUCCGUGUGUGACUUGUGUGAAAGCCUGUCUGUGUGUGUGAGCGAGUGAGGGGGAUAUGACUUCUGUGAAGGCCUGUGUGCGUGAGUGCCUGUGAAGGCCUCCUGUGUGUUUUUGAUUCUGUAGAAAGGCAGGACACUGACGGUUAAGGAUGUCUCUCUACCCCCCUCUCUCCUCUUCACAGUGGAUUCACUAUAGAGCUGGCUUCAGCGCUCACUGUUGUGUUUGCUUCCAAUAUCGGAAUCCCAGUCAGUACCACACACUGCAAGGUGUGCUGUUUGCUGAACGUCUCAAAAGGCUGGGCUGCCUCGCUCCUGCAAUCUUACAACUCCUCCUUGUCUCACUUCUCUUCUCUGUGUUUUUGUACCCCUCCAUCUCUCUCUCUCUCUCUCUCUCUCUCUCUGUCUCUCUCUGUCUCUCUCUCUCCCUCUAUUCCAUCUAUUCAGUGGUUUUUGCGUUGAAGUAAUGAGUGCUCUGUCAGUGCUUGUUGCUUCUAAUGUGGGCAUCCCAAUAAGCUCCACCCACUGCAAGGUAUUGGCGUGCUGGUUGGUUAGUGAAGCCGUGUAGCUCCUCCCAUCAGCUUCACUAGACUGAAUCUGAGCCAAUCACAACUCUCCGAGUUGCGGCUUUGACCCCUUGUGCACUUUUCCUCCAGCUGUGAUUGGUUAAGGUCUGAGGGCUCCAAUGAGAUUACUUAAUUCUUACCAUCACACACAACGCCUGGCAGAAGUCGCGAAUAUCCAUCCAUGUAAUAGUUAGCAGAGUUCACUCACCUACCUGAUAUUGACAUGUUUUAAAUCAUCCCAAUGUGUCUGAAACAGCAUUGUGUAGCUCAGUGGGAUUGUGUUAAGUAAUGACGUUACCUAAUGCAACAUUUUAGUGAAAUCUUAGUUCCUGAAUGAAUGAAACGCGCCAGGCAGACCAAUCAUAACACCACUCCUCUCAUUUAAUUAGCCACUCCAGUCUUGUGCUAUUCAGUGGUGACUCGGGAUUGUGUCCCAAAUGGUAUCCUAUCCCCUAUAUAGUGCACUACAUUUAACCGGGGGCCCCAGAAGGCUCUAUGAAGGGAAUAGGGUGCCAUUUGGAACAUAUUGAGAAAAGAGUGUAGUUGCACACUCUAGCCAGCAGAUC